UACGGGGGGGGCAAGCGUUGUUCGGAAUUACUGGGCGUAAAGGGCUCGUAGGCGGCCAACUAAGUCAGACGUGAAAUCCCUCGGCUUAACCGGGGAACUGCGUCUGAUACUGGUUGGCUUGAAUCCGGGAGAGGGAUGUGGAAUUCCAGGUGUAGCGGUGAAAUGCGUAGAUAUAUGGAAGAACACCGAUAACGGCGAAGGCAGUUAACUAUUCUGUUACUGACGUUGAGGCACGAAAGCGUGGGGAGCAAAACGG
rnacentral:rRNA from 1 species